rnacentral:lncRNA from 1 species
CACUUCUUGGUGGAGUAGAAAUCAGUUGAGAACCCAUUCCUUGUGAAAGCUUGGUGCACUGCCAGUGAAUCAUUUUGAGAGUCUACUCAUUGACAAGUUUCAUGUUGGGAAGUAUAAAUACUCUGUUUCAGAUUUCUCAGAGGAGAGUCAUUUUGUAGGCCUUUCUGAAGAUUGAAUCCCUGCCUCCACAAAACAAGUCAUGUUAAGUAAGGCAGCAGCAUUUAGGAGCCUAAUGAAUGUGCAUACACAAGCAUGAAGACACACUUGUAAGCUGGCACUGAUACAGGAUAAAAAAAACAUCACAUCCUGGAACAGAGAGACCAUGGCCCAGUGGUUGGAUCAUAGAAAAACACAAAGUAAAGAAAUCUAAAACUAAUCUCGAGGAACCCUUCUAGCUCCUUGGUGGAUUUGCAUUCCUUUCUCUGAUACUAGCAAGUUCAACUGUACCUCUGUCAUCUUGCAUUUGGAGGCCUGGAAGGACUGACAGAAAGUCUCUGUAAAAGAUGACAGUUUGCAUUCUCAACAAAGGAUCACAGACCAAAUCCAGUUCUGGCGUAGUUGUUCUCAAGCCAGUGAAGUUACUACAGGGAUGAAUUUGACCCAUUUAAAGCUUUUC